GGGCCCGUAGCUCAGCCUGGCAGAGCAUUGGUCUUAUACACCAAGCGCCGGCGGUUCAAAUCCGCCCGGGCCCA
rnacentral:tRNA from 1 species